rnacentral:lncRNA from 1 species
UUUUUUUUUUUUUUUUUUGAGACAGUGUCUCAUUAUAUAAACUUGUCUCACUAUGUUUGGAAUUCACUAUUUAGACCAGGUUGGCCUCCCAACUCAAGAGAUGCCUCCUCAUUACUGAGAUUAAACAUUUGAACCACCACACCCAGUAAAGCCCCUGUACUUUAUUUUAUUUUUAAAAAAUUUUGUGUGUUGGGAGGGUAUUGUCUGCAUGUAUAUAUUUUUUUGGUUUUGGUUUUUUUUUUUGAGACAGGGUUUCUCUGUAUAGUCUUGGCUGUCCUGGAACUCACUCUGUAGACCAGGCUGGCCUCGAACUCAGAGAUCUGCCUGCCUCUGCCUCCCAAGUACUUGGAUUAAAGGCGUGCGCCACCACUGCCUGGUGUCUGCAUAUAUAUUUAUUUGUGAAUCGUGUAUAUGUUUAGUGCCAUUAGAGGCCAGAAAGGGGUAUCAUAUUUCCUAGGACUGGAGUUAAAGAUGUUUGUGAACUGUGGGUACUGGGAAUCAAAACUGGGAAAAACAGCCAGACCUAUUACCCAUCAACAAACUUAUCCCUAAGACAUCCAUCCAGCCUUUCUCCUGCAAACAGAAAAGAGAAAACAAACAAAAAUUUCUGAAGUGGAUACAAGUAACCAGAAAAGUUAGAAGUUGAAACAGACCUAAAGCUUAUAAAAACCAGAGCAUAUCAAGGUGAAAACAAACACUGUUGGUGAUUUGGUAUAGGGGAAUAGAAACAAGUCUUUUGUUCUAUGCUGGCUCAAGGUGAUUAUUUAUUUAUUUAUUUAUUUAUUUACCCAUCCUGGGAAAAGUCUGGUAUAAAGAUCUUUAAUCUUAAAACUAUAAGGUUUUAAGAAUCAGUGAACCUAUCUAUACCUUAUUGUAAUAGGAAUGAAAAUUUCAGGAAUUCAACAAGGGCUUUCUUUAGGAAUAUAGGAAAGCCAAACAGCAAUAUUUCUUAUUCUUUUUAAUUAACUCUGUGACCCUUUAAUACAGUUAGUGUUGUUGUGAUCCCCCCACCAUAAUUAUUUUCAUUGCUACUUCAUAACUAAUUUUGCUACUGUUUUAAAGCCUAAUGUAAAUACAUAUUCUGAUGGUUUUAUGUGACCCUUUUGCAAGGGUCAUUCAACUCCCAAAGGUAUUGCUAUACAGGUUUUUACCGCAGUAACCUCUCUGGGUCGCUUUACUGUAAUGUAGCUGAGUGUGGUGCUUUGAAUGCUAAAUGUCCUUUGUAGUCUGGAGGUUUGAAUUCUUGGUCCCCAGUUCGUGGGAGUAUUUGAUUAGGUUUAGAAGGUGUUGCUGGAGAUGUGUCACUAGGGCAGUAUUUGAGAUUUAAAAUACCAUUUCUUUUUCUUUUUUGUUUUUUGAGACAGGGUUUCUCUGUAGCCCUGGCUGACCUGGAACUCACUUUGUAGACCAGGCUGGCCUUGAACUCAGAAAUCCACCUCUCUCUACCUCCCAAGUGCUGGGAUUAAAGGCAUCUGCCACCACUACCCGGCAUGCCAUUUCAUUUUAUUCUCUUGCUUUCAAUGCCAUUUUCAAUGUGAGCCCUUAGCUGUUUGUGCCAUAUCUGCUGUCUGCUGCCACAAUUCCCUGUCAUGAUAAGGUCUUAUCCCUCUGGAACCAAUAAGCCAAAAUAAAUUAUUUUGUAAGGUGUCUUGGCCAUGAUGUUUUUUCUCAACAAUAAGAAAGUAACCAAAACACUCUGUUGGUGGAGUGAGAAAAGGUGUGGAUUCUCUGGUUUCUCUUUAUAGUAUACAAAUCUCUGACCUUUUACAUAGUUGACUUCGUUUUUACUAAGUCAUUACUUGAUACAAUUAUUUGUCUUUAUUGCUACCCUUUAAGAAAACUAUGGAUCAGGAUUUGGUAUUAUUGCAAGCCUGUAAUCCCCAGCUACUUAAAAGGCUGCAACAGGAGAGAUCACAAGUUCAGUUCCUACCUUGACUACAGUCAGCUCAUGGUUAUCCCUAGCAAUUUAGCAUGAGAUAAGGACUUGUACAUGGUUCCCCACACUUGAUAGAUUUGGCAUGCUGUAUAUGUACAACAUGUGUAAUGAAUCAAUCAAGGCUUAUCUCAGAUUUUUCACUUUUACUUCCUUUACUUUGGCUGGUUGAUUCAUAAACAUACCACUAUUUAGUUUGUUGGGUUUUUGAACCAGGGUAUUUCUGUUACGUAGCUCUAUCUGUCCUAGAACCAUGUAGACCAGGUUGGUCUUGAACUCAACAAAAAUCCACCUGCCUUUGCCUUAAGAGGUGGGAUUAAAGGCGUGUACCACCCCAUCUCAUAUUUCAUAAAAAUAUUUUUCUGUCUCUAAUAAGUCAAGUGAAUAUUCCUUUCCUGAAUUAACUGCAUAUUUACUUACCAGUGCUGUACAAUCUAGCUGGUAUAAUACUUCUCAGCUCAGGCCAUAUCUGUGUGACCUUAAACUUUGGGGGAGAGUGUGCCUGUGUGUUAGGCAUGCCAGAGAUCAGCCUUGAGCGUCAUUCCUCAGCUAUUUUUUAAAAUUUAUAUGUUUGCCUGUGUAUGUAUAUGUAUCCACCUGUGUCCCCAUGGCUAGCUAGCAUUAUAUACCCUAGAGUAAGAAGGGAAUUGUAAACUGCUGAAUGUGGGUGCUGGGAACUGAAAUCUAGUCUUCUGAAAGAGUGCUGGGUUUAAAGGCCUGUGCCACCGUGUCUUACAAAAUUGAAUUGAUUUUUUUAAAGAUUUAUUUAUUUAUUUUAUGUAUGUGAGUACACUGUCACUGUCUUUAGACACACCAGAAGAGAGCAUCAGAUCCCAUUAUAGAUGGUUGUGAGCAACCAUGUGAUUGCUGGGAAUUGAACUCAGGACCUCUGGAAGAGCAGUCAGUGCUCUUAACCAUUGAGCCAUAUCUGUGAAAUUGAAUUGAUUUUUAACUAUACAUAUAAAUAUGUAAUAUAUGUAUAUAAUAUGGAUAAGGUUAAAGGAGCUUAGUUUCUAAAUUUUUAUUUGUUCUUUCAGUUUGUGUAUUUAUUCUUCCAUGUCUCUCAUUGCCUUUUGAUAUGUACACAUACACAGCCAGAGACUUUUUAUAUCAUAUCAGGACUAAAUAAGAUAAUUUUAUAGAAAUUUUGUAAAUACUAUAAUUACUGGGUCUUAGAAUCUAUAUUUUACAUAUUUGGUAAUCAAAGGAUAGCAGGAUUCAAUAAUCUGUUAUGUGUUGACAUCUCUUACACCAAAUUAUAUAGAAAAGGAAAACUAGAAAGAAGAAACACAACUUCAACUAGUCAAAGUGGUGUGUGUGUGUGUGUGUGUGUGUGUAUCUGUCUGUGUGUCUCUGUGUGUGUGUCUGUGUGCACAUUUGUUAUAAAGUCUCAUGUAUUCCGAUCAUCUGGCUUCUGACUCUGAUUGGGGAUUACAGGAAUGUGCCACUGUAUCUGGUUUCUACAAUGUUGGGGAUCAAAUCCAAACCUUUGUGUAUGCAGGCACUCUAACAACUGAUUUCCCAACCACACAUUUGCUCCCAUUCCCUAAUAAAUAGAUGAGAGAGACCUCAGUUCACUAUCACGUUAAUUUAUCUUAAAUUCUAGAAGUUGUUAGGUCAAAGAUGCCAUAUAAUAGUCUACAAAAUAAAAAAUUUUCUUCACUGAAAAAUACAUACUUCCUUUCUAUCUUUUGGGGCCUGGAAAGAUUUGAGGGGAAGAUAGUAAGAUUUCUUUUUUUGAGAUUUAUUUAUUUAUUUUAUGUAUGUGCGUACACUGUAGCUGUAUAGAUGGUUGUGAGCCUUCAUGUGGUGGUUGGGAAAUGAAUUUUUAGAACCUUUGCUCACUCCGGUUGGCCCCACUUGCUCCAGUCAACCCCGCUCACUCAGGCCCAAAGAUUUAUUUAUUAUUAUACAUAAGUACACUGUAGCUGACUUCAGACGCACCAGAAGAGGGCAUCAGAACUCAUUAUGGGUGGUUGUGAGCCACCAUGUGGAUGCUGGGAUUUGAACUCAGUACCUUUGGAAGAGUAGUCAGUGCUCUUACCUGCUGAGCCAUCUCACCAGCCCCUUCAUUUCCUUGAUUCUUAAGUAUUAUUUAUGUUUUGUUUUUGUACUUACCUAUAACAGUUUAAUAUUUUGUUUACUUGUGAUGUACACAUUAGGAAAUGAGUACCAAGCCAGGCGUGGUGGCGCACGCCUUUAAUCCCAGCACUUGGUAGGCAGAGGCAGGCAGAUUUCUGAGGCCAGCCUGGUCUACAAAGUGAGUUCCAGGACAGCCACGGCUACACAGAGAAACCCUGUCUUGAACCAAACCCCCUCCCCCCCCAAAAAGAAUCUAUCAAGGAAAUGAGUCCCAGCCUCUUAGCAAAGGAGAUUAAUUUUUAAGUGACAUUGCUUUUUCUAGAGCUAGUUUUGUGAGAAUUUUCAUUUAAAUAAGGUAGCAUCAAGAUGAGGCUGGUGAAACUGGCCAUGGUGUUGGACACUUUAAAUCCUAGAACUCAGGAGGCAAAGGCAGGUGGAUUUCUGGUUUACAGAGUGAGUUCUAGGACAGCCCCAACCAGUACUAUGUAGAGAGGCCCUCACUCC